rnacentral:siRNA from 1 species
AUCCCGGCGGCCGGACGGUCGGUC